rnacentral:rRNA from 1 species
AGAGUUUGAUCAUGGCUCAGAUUGAACGCUGGCGGCAGGCCUAACACAUGCAAGUCGAGCGGUAGCACAGGGGAGCUUGCUCCCUGGGUGACGAGCGGCGGACGGGUGAGUAAUGUCUGGGAAACUGCCUGAUGGAGGGGGAUAACUACUGGAAACGGUAGCUAAUACCGCAUAACGUCGCAAGACCAAAGAGGGGGACCUUCGGGCCUCUUGCCAUCAGAUGUGCCCAGAUGGGAUUAGCUAGUAGGUGGGGUAAUGGCUCACCUAGGCGACGAUCCCUAGCUGGUCUGAGAGGAUGACCAGCCACACUGGAACUGAGACACGGUCCAGACUCCUACGGGAGGCAGCAGUGGGGAAUAUUGCACAAUGGGCGCAAGCCUGAUGCAGCCAUGCCGCGUGUAUGAAGAAGGCCUUCGGGUUGUAAAGUACUUUCAGCGAGGAGGAAGGCAUUAAGGUUAAUAACCUUAGUGAUUGACGUUACUCGCAGAAGAAGCACCGGCUAACUCCGUGCCAGCAGCCGCGGUAAUACGGAGGGUGCAAGCGUUAAUCGGAAUUACUGGGCGUAAAGCGCACGCAGGCGGUCUGUCAAGUCGGAUGUGAAAUCCCCGGGCUCAACCUGGGAACUGCACUCGAAACUGGCAGGCUAGAGUCUUGUAGAGGGGGGUAGAAUUCCAGGUGUAGCGGUGAAAUGCGUAGAGAUCUGGAGGAAUACCGGUGGCGAAGGCGGCCCCCUGGACAAAGACUGACGCUCAGUGCGAAAGCGUGGGGAGCAAACAGGAUUGGAUACCCUGGUAGUCCACGCCGUAAACGAUGUCGACUUGGAGGUUGUUCCCUUGAGGAGUGCUUCCGGAGCUAACGCGUUAAGUCGACCGCCUGGGG